rnacentral:tRNA from 1 species
GUUUUAUUAGUAUAAGUUAGUAUGUUUGUUUUCCAAACAAGUGGUUUAAAUUUUUAUUAAAUAAAAUA